rnacentral:rRNA from 1 species
GACGGGGGCCCGCACAAGCGGUGGAGUAUGUGGUUUAAUUCGAAGCAACGCGAAGAACCUUACCAGGUCUUGACAUACCGGGCAAAGCCUCAGAGAUGAGGAAAUAGUUAUGCCGGAUACAGGUGGUGCAUGGUUGUCGUCAGCUCGUGUCGUGAGAUGUUGGGUUAAGUCCCGCAACGAGCGCAACCCCUACGGUUAGUUGCUAACGGGUAAGGCCGAGCACUUUAGCCGAACUGCCGUUGACAAAACGGAGGAAGCGGGAUGACGUCAAAUCAUCAUGCCCUUUAUGUCCUGGGCUACACACGUGCUACAAUGGCCUGUACAAAGGGCAGCAAAGGGGCGACCCGGAGCAAAUCCCAAAAAACAGGUCUCAGUUCGGAUUGCAGGCUGCAACUCGCCUGCAUGAAGGCGGAAUCGCUAGUAAUCGCAGGUCAGCAUACUGCGGUGAAUACGUUCCCGGGCCUU